GACGAACGCUGGCGGCGUGCUUAACACAUGCAAGUCGAGCGGAGCGGCGAACGGGUGAGUAACGCGUGAGUAACUGGCCCCCUCUCUGGGAUAACAGUUGGAAACGGCUGCUAAUACCGGAUCGUGGGGGAUGACUCGCGUCCUAUCAGAUUGGUGGUGGGGUAGUGGCCUCCCAAGGCGACGACGGGUAGCCGGCCUGAGAGGGCGACCGGCCACAUUGGGCUUAGAUACGGCCCAAAGUCCUACGGGAGGCAGCAGUGGGGAAUAUUGCACAAGGGGGUAAACCGUGAUGCAGCAAUGCCGCGGGCGUGAUGACGGCCUUCGGGUUGUAAACCGCUGUCAGCCAUGACGCGGUAGUGGCAGAAGAAGCACCGGCUAACUACGUGCCAGCAGCCGCGGUAAUAC
rnacentral:rRNA from 1 species